rnacentral:sRNA from 1 species
CUACUCUGGAGGCAAACUGCUUCUGAGCCUCUGGAGAAUGGGAGAGUUUUAGCCCAGGGCUCUACCUUCACCUACCAGGAUAUCCUAGCUGGGCUGGUUGGGUACGUGCCUAGUGUCCCUGGCAUGGUCAUGGAUGAGUUCCAGUUCUCCCUCACUGAUGGCCUCCACGUGGACACAGGGAGGAUGAAGAUCUACAUAGAACUGCCUGCAAGUGACACACCUCACUUGGCUGUAAACCAAGGCCUACAGCUCUCAGCAGGGUCCAUAGCACGCAUCACAGAACAGCACUUGAAAGUGACAGAUAUUGACUCAGAUGACCAUCAGGUUAUGUUCAUCAUGAAGGAAGAUCCUGGUGCAGGGCGCCUGCAGAUGGUGAAGCAUGGCAACCUGGAGCAAAUUUCUAUUAAAGGCCCCAUCCGAAGUUUCACCCAGGCAGACAUUAGCCAAGGUCAGCCAGUUCUCUUCUGCCUACCAGGCUUCUGUGGACUGCACCUACACUAGUAAAAUGAGAAUUAAAUGUCUGGUAGUCUAUGGCAAUAAACUGUGCAGUCUUUGUUUUGAAGA